GCAAUGCGUGGCAUACGGCUCAGUAACACGUAGUCAACAUGCCCAGGGGACGUGGAUAACCUCGGGAAACUGAGGAUAAACCACGAUAGGCCAAGAUUUCUGGAAUGAAUCAUGGCUGAAAUCUACAUGGCCCUUGGAUUGGACUGCGGCCGAUCAGGCUGUUGGUGAGGUAAUGGCCCACCAAACCUAUAACCGGUACGGGCUCUGAGAGGAGGAGCCCGGAGAUGGGCACUGAGACAAGGGCCCAGGCCCUAUGGGGCGCAGCAGGCGCGAAACCUCUGCAAUAGGCGAAAGCUUGACAGGGUUACUCUGAGUGAUGUCUGUUAAGGGCAUCUUUUGGCACCUCUAAAAAUGGUGUAGAAUAAGGGGUGGGCAAGUCUGGUGUCAGCCGCCGCGGUAAUACCAGCACCCCGAGUGGUCGGGACGAUUAUUGGGCCUAAAGCAUCCGUAGCCGGUUCUGCAAGUCUUCCGUUAAAUCCACCUGCUCAACAGAUGGGCUGCGGGGGAUACUACAGGGCUAGGAGGCGGGAGAGGCAAGCGGUACUCGGUGGGUAGGGGUAAAAUCCUCUGAUCCACUGAAGACCACCAGUGGCGAAGGCGGCUUGCCAGAACGCGCUCGACGGUGAGGGAUGAAAGCUGGGGGAGCAAACCGGAUUAGAUACCCGGGUAGUCCCAGCUGUAAAC
rnacentral:rRNA from 1 species